AGGUGUACUGGUUCAGCUGCUGCAGCCUGGACGGAAACACCAGCUCUCACCUGACAAACCAAACAGGUGUCACCACUUGGUCCACGACAUCGUCCACCAUCGCAGAGACAUGGUCCAUGAUCGGAGAGGCAUUGUUGAGGAUGAGGGAGACAUCGUCCACGAUCAGAGACACUGUCCACGAUCGCAGAGACCUUGUCAAAGACGAGAGAGACGUUGUCCAUGAUCAGAGACUUUGUCCCAUGCUUCGUAGAGACCUUGCGAUAGAAUCGGCGGAGACGGGGGUCACCGAUUUGACGGCACUGCCCGCGAUCAUGGAGACAUUGUCGAUGGUCACAGAGACAGCGUCUAUGAUCUCAGAGACAUCGUCCACGAUCGCAAAGACAUUGUCCAUGAUCACAGAGACUUUGUCCAUAAUCUCAGAGACAGUGUCCGCGAUCACAGAGACGUAGUCCACGAUCACAGAGAGUCUUUGUACAAUGAAGAAGUUCUUUGAGACCAGGACAGAGGCCUCCAGGUGUCACCACUUGGUCCACGACAUCGUCCACCAUCGCAGAGACAUGGUCCAUGAUCGGAGAGGCAUUGUUGAGGAUGAGGGAGACAUCGUCCACGAUCAGAGACACUGUCCACGAUCGCAGAGACCUUGUCAAAGACGAGAGAGACGUUGUCCAUGAUCAGAGACUUUGUCCCAUGCUUCGUAGAGACCUUGCGAUAGAAUCGGCGGAGACGGGGGUCACCGAUUUGACGGCACUGCCCGCGAUCAUGGAGACAUUGUCGAUGGUCACAGAGACAGCGUCUAUGAUCUCAGAGACAUCGUCCACGAUCGCAAAGACAUUGGCCAUGAUCACAGAGACUUUGUCCAUAAUCUCAGAGACUGUGUCCGCGAUCACAGAGACGUAGUCCACGAUCCCAGAGAGUCUUUGUACAAUGAAGAAGUUCUUUGAGACCAGGACAGAGGCCUCCAGGUGUCACCACUUGGUCCACGACAUCGUCCACCAUCGCAGAGACAUGGUCCAUGAUCGGAGAGGCAUUGUUGAGGAUGAGGGAGACAUCGUCCACGAUCAGAGACACUGUCCACGAUCGCAGAGACCUUGUCAAAGACGAGAGAGAUGUUGUCCAUGAUCAGAGACUUUGUCCCAUGCUUCGUAGAGACCUUGCGAUAGAAUCGGCGGAGACGGGGGUCACCGAUUUGACGGCACUGCCCGCGAUCAUGGAGACAUUGUCGAUGGUCACAGAGACAGCGUCUAUGAUCUCAGAGACAUCGUCCACGAUCGCAAAGACAUUGUCCAUGAUCACAGAGACUUUGUCCAUAAUCUCAGAGACAGUGUCCGCGAUCACAGAGACGUAGUCCACGAUCCCAGAGAGUCUUUGUACAAUGAAGAAGUUCUUUGAGACCAGGACAGAGGCCUCCAGGUAAUUCACAAACACCUUUACAUCAACUGUCCAACACAGAGCACUGACAUUAAACUGACAUUUAAAC